AAGGCCUUAGCUUAAUUAAAGCGUUUGAGUUGCAUUCAGAAUAUGUGAGAUAGAGUCUUGCAGGUCUUA
rnacentral:tRNA from 2 species